rnacentral:rRNA from 1 species
CUCGCUGUGAAGAUGCAGUGUACCCGCGGCAAGACGGAAAGACCCCGUGAACCUUUACUAUAGCUUGACACUGAACAUUGAGCCUUGAUGUGUAGGAUAGGUGGGAGGCUUUGAAGUGUGGACGCCAGUCUGCAUGGAGCCGACCUUGAAAUACCACCCUUUAAUGUUUGAUGUUCUAACGUGGACCCGUAAUCCGGGUUGCGGACAGUGUCUGGUGGGUAGUUUGACUGGGGCGGUCUCCUCCUAAAGAGUAACGGAGGAGCACGAAGGUUGGCUAAUCCUGGUCGGACAUCAGGAGGUUAGUGCAAUGGCAUAAGCCAGCUUGACUGCGAGCGUGACGGCGCGAGCAGGUGCGAAAGCAGGUCAUAGUGAUCCGGUGGUUCUGAAUGGAAGGGCCAUCGCUCAACGGAUAAAAGGUACUCCGGGGAUAACAGGCUGAUACCGCCCAAGAGUUCAUAUCGACGGCGGUGUUUGGCACCUCGAUGUCGGCUCAUCACAUCCUGGGGCUGAAGUAGGUCCCAAGGGUAUGGCUGUUCGCCAUUUAAAGUGGUACGCGAGCUGGGUUUAGAACGUCGUGAGACAGUUCGGUCCCUAUCUGCCGUGGGCGCUGGAGAACUGAGGGGGGCUGCUCCUAGUACGAGAGGACCGGAGUGGACGCAUCACUGGUGUUCGGGUUGUCAUGCCAAUGGCACUGCCCGGUAGCUAAAUGCGGAAGAGAUAAGUGCUGAAAGCAUCUAAGCACGAAACUUGCCCCGAGAUGAGUUCUCCCUGAGACUUUAGGUCUCCUGAAGGAACGUUGAAGACGACGACGUUGAUAGGCCGGGUGUGUAAGCGCAGCGAUGCGUUGAGCUAACCGGUACUAAUGAACCGUGAGGCUUAACCUUACAACGCCGAAG